UACGGAGGGUGCAAGCGUUGUUCGGAAUCACUGGGCGUAAAGCGCGUGUAGGCGGCUAUUUAAGUCUGAUGUGAAAGCCCUGGGCUUAACCCAGGAAGUGCAUUGGAUACUGGGUAGCUCGAGUACCGGAGAGGAGGGUGGAAUUCCUGGUGUAGCGGUGAAAUGCGUAGAUAUCAGGAGGAACACCGGUGGCGAAGGCGUCCCUCUGGCCGGAUACUGACGCUGAGACGCGAAAGCGUGGGGAGCAAACGGG
rnacentral:rRNA from 1 species